GAGAGAGAGAGAGAGAGAGAGCGCAAGCAUCCUUAGAAGCUAUACAUGAAAACCCUGUGACUUCUAAGCCUUGGUGGGGCAGACAGAGGCAAGCACACAAUCUUAGGCUGACACCCGGUUGGAGGAGACGAUUUGGCAGAAGUGGAAGCAAGCCAUCUCUACACAGACAGAAGCGGGACGUCUGCAGCGGGCAUGGUUUUCUCAAAACCCAGGAAGCGAUCCAAAGAAAUAGUGGAUGUGGUGGAACCUGCAGAUAUCCACCAUCUUGUCUUCGGAACCCAUUCCAUGGAGUGGAGGAAAACUUCAGAAGCAGGUUUCCUCCCGAUUUAUGAUUAUAUAGCC